UGUACACACCGCCCGUCACACCACGAGAGUUUGUAACACCCGAAGUCGGUAGGGUAACCUUUAUGGAGCCAGCCGCCGAAGGUGGGACAGAUAAUUGGGGUGAAGUCGUAACAAGGUAGCCGUAUCGGAAGGUGCGGCUGGAUCACCUCCUUUCUAAGGAA
rnacentral:rRNA from 1 species